rnacentral:lncRNA from 1 species
GGUUUUUUAGAAAAAUUGUUGUGCUCUUGAUGUGUGAAAAAUUGCUCUGUUCUCGUGUGGUUUUUUUUUUUUUUGUUAACUUCUCAUCAUCUUCUUUAUGAAGAAAAUCUUAAGUCUUAAAAACUCCUUUUUUGUUAUACCUUUUUCUUCCAGAUUACAUGGGAUUCCAUUUGUAGAUUUGUUACUGUUUUAAGCUAUUUUCAAAGUGCUUUUUUGAGUGUUCAUGUUAACCUGCUGGGUAAAGUUUCAAACUGAGUAAUUUAUUUAGUUAUUUUUCAGUUUUUUAAGCGCUUUUGAAAAGUGCUUUUUUAAUUAAGCUGUUUUUCCUCUUUGCAGGUUACAGGAAUGAAGUGACCCCUAUUGAAGGGUGAAGUCUGCGUCAGCCCUAUUGAGGAGGGGGUUGGAUUUUAAGGUGCUUUGACCUAGACGACGGUCUUGGGCGCUGGCUUUUGAGAGUUCUAUUUCCAAACUGCUGGAUUUUCAGCAGCUUUUAAUUUUUCAAUUUUAGUCAUCAAGAUGUAACUUUGGACCCUUUGGAUAAUUGUAUUAAUUUCCAAACUGCUGGAUUUUCAGCAGCUUUUAAUUUUUCAAUUUUAGUCAUCAAGAUGUAACUUUGGACCCUUUGGAUAAUUGUAUUAACUUUGGAAUUUAUUUGUGAUAUCCUAGACCAAAAAAGAAUUUAUGUAAUUAAUCUCUUUUCAAACAUUUAAACUUUAUUUUAAUAUUUCAAUUAGGAACUUGUUAAUCAAUUAAAUCAUUUUGAACUUUGUCCUCUUA